rnacentral:tRNA from 1 species
AAAAAUUAGUUAAUAAAUAACGUAAAAUUGUCAAUUUUAAAUUACUAAAAUACUAGUAUUUUUCU